CAGGACGAACGCUGGCGGCGUGCUUAACACAUGCAAGUCGAACGGAACACCCUUGACAGAGGUUUCGGCCAAUGAAGAGGAAUGUUUAGUGGCGGACUGGUGAGUAACGCGUGAGGAACCUGCCUUUCAGAGGGGGACAACAGUUGGAAACGACUGCUAAUACCGCAUGAAGCAGCGAGGGGACAUCCCCUUGCUGUCAAAGAUUUAUCGCUGAAAGAUGGCCUCGCGUCUGAUUAGCUAGUUGGUGGGGUAACGGCCCACCAAGGCGACGAUCAGUAGCCGGACUGAGAGGUUGACCGGCCACAUUGGGACUGAGAUACGGCCCAGACUCCUACGGGAGGCAGCAGUGGGGAAUAUUGGGCAAUGGACGCAAAGUCUGACCCAGCAACGCCGCGUGAAGGAAGAAGGCUUUCGGGUUGUAAACUUCUUUUAACAGGGAAGAGAAGAAGACGGUACCUGUUGAAUAAGCCACGGCUAACUACGUGCCAGCCGCAGC
rnacentral:rRNA from 1 species